GAAAUGUGUCAUUGACUUCAGGCAGCGAGAGCACAGAGAACCACAAGACACGGAGGAGGGACAGCAGAAGGUCGGCCAUGGCUGUGUUUCUGAUCCGUCUUGUAAUUUGGUCCACUUCGUUGGUUUUGUGGUUCCCUCAAAGUGCAGCGACUGAAAGCCAUGGUUUGGAUCUCUGUCAGGAGUUUCCAGAUGAGGUGAAAAUGAGAAUAAGCUUUUGUAUAAACACUUUUGUUUUCUAAUGACCUCA